ensembl:lncRNA
GUGUUCAGCAAAUGAUUUCCCCACUAAACAACUCUCUGUCUCACCAACAUCAUUACAGCUUGACAACAACACUUCUCUCAAGAGACACGGUUUGCCUCGGGAGUCCUAAAACUCGCCUUGUAAACCAGGCUGGCCUCAAACUCUACUCUGCCUGCCUGCGCCUCCUUUGUGCUGAGAUGAAAUGCUCCGCCACUGCAGGAUUCCUUUCAUUAUUUCUGUGUGAAUAUACUCACAUGAGGGCAGUGACCUCGGAGUCCAGAAGAGGGCGCUCCGCUCCUUGUGAGAUCCUGGAGAUCCACUCUCCUACCUGGAUAGCCAUCUCCCCAUCCCGGGUGGGCCUAAGUUCCAUUGCAUUUCACCCUAUUUUAUCACUCUGUGGC